rnacentral:lncRNA from 11 species
AUUUAUUGCAUAUACUUGUGUGUAUGUCAACGUCAAGUAUAAGUCAAGGGAAGGUUUGGGGCCAAAAUUACGGAUUUUGAUAUGACCCAGGCUGACAGCAAAAUUAUGCUAUUACAAGGGGCCAGCUAUCCCUAUCCCUUUUAAAAAGACCAGAAGUGGCAUUUCUGUGGAGGGAGUAGAGGGGGCCAGUGCUUCUUUUAGGUUCUCUCAGGAUGAGCCAAGCUGUCACUUUUUCCCAUUAUACUCAGAGAAGGGGAUGGCUCCUAUUUAAAAUAAAGUUAAGUACUAGAAAGAGGGCAGUACAAGCAAAGACCCCUUCAGUGAAGCAACUUUCUGUAGCAAAAUCUCAGAUGUGUGAGAAGCCAGUAGAAGAACUUAUACCAACCCGUGUAAAGAUUGCUGUGUUUGCUAUCUUCGUUUUCCUUCUUUUUGUGUAUGUCACUAUGGAAACUAAUGUAGGGAAUCCAUUCCCAAGGUUUAGCAUGGGAAAAUGAGAGCAUCUCAUCAUUUAGAGAUGACAUCAAAAGACUAAAGGUGGUGGUUCUGUUCAGCUGCUUAGGAAUAAGCAAUUUGGGUAGCUUAUUAAAAAGCAAGAGUGGAUAUACCAUGUAUGUGUUUUCUUUGUUUAGAAUUUAAAAUGCCUCCCAGCGUCUGUAUCUUAAAAUAUCUGGCAGCAUCUACGUUUUUUGACAGUGGUUCAUGAUUUAGCUCAUGAGUAGAGAUUUUCUUAAUUGGUUUAAUGAAAACCAAUUUCUUCCUUUCUUAAUUUCAGAAGGUGAAGUUUUCUGUUAGCAGCCAGUCCUCCCACCAUUGUUUAUAUUAUGCAAGUGGGCCCUAUGGCUAGAAGACAAUUUGUCAAAUCCUAAUGAACUGACUAGUAAGAAGCAUAAACCUAGAAGGAAAAGAUUGCAAAAAUGAUUGUGGGGUAAUUCAGCUGUUAUAUACCCAUACAGAAUACAAGUUGCAGGGUAGCUUCUCAGAGCCAAGUAGAUCCCACCAAAAUCCAUCCAUUCCCAAAGUAUAGCAUGGGAAGUUGAUCCCAUCACUCUCACCAUCAUAGCCCGGUGCUUUAAUUCAUCCAGAAGCCUUUGUUCUAUUACAGACAUCAGCUGUGGAGCUGGGCUGCCUAUCCUAGUCUAAGGAGAAGCACCUGCUAGGUAAUCAAAUGUAAAACGACAGAGCCCUUGAUGGCUGAUCAUACAGGCAUAGCUACAGCUUGUCCAUUUCCAUGUACCUGUUUUCUUUUGAUGGACAGUGUAGUAUUUUGCUUUUGAGAACUUGCAAUCUUUAAUACUCCCAUUGAUCAUCCUGUGGGGAAUUUCCUGGAAUAUGUAGUUCAAAAACUAUAGACUGGUUACUAGACAAAGAAAUAAACAUCAAUACCUUUUCAUGCCUUAUUUUACUAUCUUUAAAGUGUUGGAGCCAAGUUCUUCACAUGUGCUGGCAUUUUUAAAACAUGAAAAAACUAACAAAAAGUCCAACUCAACUUGUUCUUUCUAAUUGGCAACAGAAUGUAAUACUGUGUUGAAGUGGUGUGGCUGUUAAUUGUUUUUUGUUUAAAGCAUGAGUAGCUUUCAAAUGGUGUAAACCUAAAAGUUGCGCUGUGACAAAUUUUGUGUUUUAGUUUACCUGUGACUUCAGAUUUCACAACCUCCAAUAUAGACCUUUAUUGCACACCCUUACUCCCAUUCUGCUAAACUGUACAGCUUGUGAUUUUGCUCUGUGGCAGUGAGGGGGCACAAGCAACAAUCUAGCUGUCACUCACCUUUUACAGUGAAUGUUUCCUGUGAUUACUUCCUGGCAUAUGGUUUAGAAAGGAGAAUGAAAGAUGGUGCGAUAUCCCCAAUAUAUCUUCAAAAAUAAUACUGCACAAUAAUCCUGUAAUAAUGUACAAAAAGCCCAGAGUAAGAAAACUUGAACACUGAAAUUCAAAGUUUGUCCCUUUUUUGUUGGUACAUGAAUAGAUUUCUAAGAAUCUAGAACAGUGAAACCCCUGUUUGGACAUUUAAUUUGGACCAUCAGAAGCCCCAUUGUGGCCUUAGGAUGUAUCCAUACACCCUCCCUAUCAUCACAUUGACUUACCUUUUGCAGCUUGAUAAUUGUUUUUCACUUUUCCAUGUUGUUCUUAACUGUUUACCUCUUCACCUCUUCUUAACUGUUAGUAAUCUUUGUUUUAUUUACUGCAAUGUUUAUGCCAUACAUUCUGGUUUUGUUCCUUCAUCUGGUCAGCUGAUGCACUUCUAGAAAACUUUGGAAGUCUUGGGAACACAUAGAAAAAGCGAGUUCAUUUUCUCAUUUGAGUCAUUCUGAAAUUACUCACAUAUUUCUUGGCAGGCUGCGUGGAGCACUUGCUUGUUUGGUCAUGACUCAACAUUUUUUUGUCUGUGCUAGACCAAGGAGGUAAAAUCAGAGUGAAAUCUCAACAGCACAUGGAAGCAUAUGCAGUAGUUGUUCAUCUUAUGUUAACAAAUUGUAUUCUGUUUGAUCAAAGUGCUAAGAGUUGGGCCAGAAUUUAAAGAUGGAGAAAAAAAAUAAUUGUCCAGAGACACAUUCUAAAGUAGUUUUUUUUCAUUAUUCUUCUUAGAAAAUGAUGCCUUUAUUAAGUCUGAUUUCACUCACUAUCUCAUUUCCCCAACAUUCAUUCUGUGCAGUUUCACCAUCAAUUUCUGAUUUUUUUUAAAAAAAAUUGUUGACUUAAAAUGAAUUCCACACAUAUUUUUACACACUUUCAGUUCUAUGCGUUAUGCUGACCUUUCCAAAUCAACAUAUUUUGCAAUCAUAUUUUGCCUUUAUUUUCUAUUUGGAAUACUAUAAUGCACUGUAUAUGGAGAUGCACUUGGAAACUGUUCAUAACCUACAGCAUGUAACAAACACCCUUGGUAAAACAGCUUCAUUGGUUUGUUUCUGGGUGUAAUUCAAAGUGUUGGUCACUAUUAUGCCCUAUGCAAUGUAGGUUCAGGCUUUCUGAAAGAUCAUAUCUUCUUAUACGAACCUUGACAAGAGGUUUCAACUCCAAGGGAAAGGCUUACUUAGUGAGGACAGGAGACCCAUUGGUGUCUCCCACCUACUGGAAUUUCUUUCCAAUGGAGGAUAAGCUUGCUAACUUCCUGUUCUCCUUUCACCAGCAGGCAAAGAUAUUUUGGUUUAAGCAGGCUUUUAAUGUAUAGUUUCUCACAGAUAGGUUUCUUAUUGAAAGAGAUGUUUCGGUUUUAAACCUUUAAAUGCAUUUAAAAUAAUUUUAUAUGUUUUUUUGUAAUAAUGAUAAAUUGUUUUAAAUUUUUAUUGUCAGAUUUAGUUCUUAUUGUGAGAUGCCUUGGGUCCCGAUCCAACAGAAAGGUGGCAUAUAAAUAAAACAAAAUAAAUAUUCUUGAAAACAU